CCUUCUUCUCCCCACUGACAGUCACAUAGUUGUGAAGCUGGACCUGUUUUCAUGUGGCAGAUCUGCUACUCCAUCUCUCAAACCUCCAAAGACAGACUGAAGAAAGCAGACCUCCUCCAGAUCAAAGUCUGAUCAAAACUGGAGAAGGACUGCUUUGGAUUUUUAGAAAUGGAGAAGACCUGCUGAAGUCUGGAAACAUCAUGAUGGAGGCUACUGCCAGAAGCCACCAACGUCUUUUAACCUCGGAAAUCACGUGGGCUUCCUUUCUGUGUGAGCUGAAUGCUUUGUCCAGCUCAAGGACUUCAUUAGAGCGGUCCUCCUGACGCACAGCCCUGUCCUUGUCCGUCACAUCACAGAGACACAAAGCCUGUGUACACAAGCCCGUGGCCAAACCUUCAGUGGCACAGAGUGAUUUCUUAUCUUCGCUGGGAAGCAGUAAAACCACAAGUUCCAAGCGCAGAGUGUCACCCAGUGCCUUAACCGAUAUUUUAAUCAAUAAAUGCCUAGCAAAUACUGAGAGAAAGAAGAAUAAUUUGUAAGCUGAGGUAAUGUCACUUGCCACCUGUGAAUGGCUCCUAUGAAUGGCUUCUACCAUGUUCCUUUCCUUCCCAUGGAACGGAAGUGAAGAGCAGCAGGAAGGCACCCUGGCUUGAAUGCUGGAGAAGGACAAGGUGAUGCAGCACAUUGCAGUUCUGCGUGAGGAUCAGCUAAAUAUGGAUCUGAUGACGAUGGCAUACACUGAUAUGCAUGGACAAGAGCAGGCAGACACAGAUAAGGCUUUAAAUCUGUUUGUGAAGUUUGAAAAAGUCCAAGGAAGAAAGAGAAGGAAGCCCUAAGCGAUAUAUCCUGCAUAACAGUCAUAAGUUGAGAUCAAAAGUCAAUCUGUACUGAGAUAGAAAGGUGACUAAUUUGAGAUAAUGCCAUGCUCCAUUCCAUUCCCAUUAAAGCAGAUUAUUUUUCAGUAAUGCAUGGAGCUGGCUGUAACUCCACAAAAAAACUUCUAGACAGAAGUGUGUUACUGUCCUCUGCAAUUGGUGUUCUCUGGAUGGCACUAGACUGAACUUACCAUUAUUAAAACCUCUCUCAGAAGGUUUGGGACGAUCCUAUUGGAACACUGCGGACAUUUCACCUCACUACUGCCUGUCUAAUAGCAGUUCCAGAGGGUCACUGAUCUCUCAAAGGAAUCAAGCAGGCAUCUGAGGUGCAUCGAUGCCCUGUUAAUGGAACAUGCUGAGAUCCAUAUAAAUCAGCGGAUGAGAUGCUGAACAGAGCUUCAAGACAGACAGUCUCUCUUCCUGCUGCUGGCUGGUCUCGGGGCAGGUGGCUGCACCAAUGCUCUUGUUUCCAUUUGGUAGCCUAGGGAUAAUGAGGCUUGCUUCUUUAUAAAGCCCUGUAAGGACUAUUAGUAAUAAUUUUUAAAAAUAGGUGCUGUGGUACUAAGACAGGUCAAGGCUGAAAGCAACUUAAAAGACUAGCAAGUAUCUAUAUUGACUAUCUAAGUGUGGUGAAUUGUCAGGCUAGUCAGAGCAGAAAAAGCGGGCACGGUGCAGAUAUGUUAAAUGAGCUGGUAAGUGGGUAUUACUCGAAGUAGUUCUGAAAAGUGGCAAGAUAGAAAUGAAAUAAAUUUUUCCUUUUUAUAGAAAAAUAGAUACUUAGAAUAAUUUGGGCUGAUGCUCAAAAGUCAUGGUUUCUUAAAAUGUCUAGCCUUUGACUUAGUAUAAUGUAUCCUGUAAAGCUUCUACGUUGGGAAAAGGUUUGAAAAGGAAGGUGGGAGGAGAGCAAGUUUCUGGAGUAUUAAUGACUGUGCCAUUUGCCUCUAUACUUAGGGAAGAAAGUGAUUAUGGUUAGAAAAAAAAAUCAAUAAAAAAUAUUACAUGCAUGCCCUGUAUUACUA